rnacentral:misc_RNA from 1 species
GAUGAAGAACGCAGCGAAAUGCGAUAAGUAAUGUGAAUUGCAGAAUUCAGUGAAUCAUCGAAUCUUUGAACGCAUCUUGCGCUCCUUGGUAUUCUGAGGAGCAUGCCUGUUUGAGUGUCAUUAAAUUCUCAACUACACUGACUUUGAAUUGGUGUGGCUUGGAUUUGGGGGGAAAAUUGUUGUGGGCUUUUUGUAUAGUCUGCUCCCCUGAAAUUGAUUAGCGGUACCUUUGUGGAACUGUCUACAGGUGUGAUAAUUAUCUACAUCUUAGACAUCUGCUGGAAUGCUGCUCUCUAAACCUUACUUGUAUUGACAAUCUUGACCUCAAAUCAGGUAUGACUACCCGCUGAACUUAAGCAUAUCAAUAAGCGGAGGA